GAUGAACGCUGUCUACAGGCUUAACACAUGCAAGUCGAGGGGAAACGACGGGGAAGCUUGCUUCCCCGGGCGUCGACCGGCGCACGGGUGAGUAACGCGUAUCCAACCUGCCUCUGACUGAGGGAUAACCCGUCGAAAGUCGGCCUAAUACCUCAUGGCAUCGUCUGCGGGCAUCCAACGACGAUUAAAGAUUUCAUCGGUCAGGGAUGGGGAUGCGUCUGAUUAGCUUGUUGGCGGGGUAACGGCCCACCAAGGCUACGAUCAGUAGGGGUUCUGAGAGGAAGGUCCACCAGAUUGGAACUGAGACACGGUCCAAACUCCUACGGGAGGCAGCAGUGAGGAAUAUUGGUCAAUGGGCGGGAGCCUGAACCAGCCAAGUAGCGUGCAGGAUGACGGCCCUAUGGGUUGUAAACUGCUUUUAUGCGGGGAUAAAGUGAGGGACGUGUCCUUCAUUGCAGGUACCGCAUGAAUAAGGACCGGCUAAUUCCGUG
rnacentral:rRNA from 1 species